rnacentral:tRNA from 1 species
AGCAUAGUAAGCUAAGUGUAAGCUCCCGGGCCCAUGCCCCGACAAUGUAGGUUAAAUUCCUUCCUUUGCUA